CCCUUAGAUGUCCGGGGCCGCACGCGCGCUACACUGGCGCAAGCAGCGGGUCUCUCACCCUCGGCCGACAGGUCCGGGUAACCCGCUGAGACUUCUCCGUGCUGGGGACAGGGACUUGUAAUUGUGUCCCUUGAACGAGGAAUUCCAAGUAAACGCGAGUCAUCAGCUCGCAUUGAUUACGUCCCUGCCCUUUGUACACACCGCCCGUCGCUACUACCGAUCGAAUGGCUUAGUGAGGCCAUCGGAUCGACCGUCCGGCAGAUGUCUUUCGGCGUCUGUACUGGGCGUGACGGGAAGACGGUCAAACUUGAUCAUUUAGAGGAAGUAAAAGUCGUAACA
rnacentral:rRNA from 1 species